CCCACCACCACCACCAAAGUUUAUCUAAUACCAUUCUAUUUAUUAAAUGAAUAAAGGGUAGAGAAUAGAAAUACACGUUAGAGAAAUGGUGGUGGCAGCACAUGAGUUUAUGUUACAAGGUAUGUAUUUACAAGAUCUAAAAGUUUUUGUUACUUUGGUGCGGAUCUAAUACCCAUGACCGAAUAACACUCCAUUGGAUAAACAAGAAAACGAGUUGGCAUCUAUGGAUCUUCAUUGUUGCCAAAGAGAUCUACUUUUUCCCUUCUCUGUAUUCUACUUCUUCCAUUUUUUUUUAGAUCUAUGAUACUUAUUUACAUUUUUAUUAUAUUUGUUAUUUGAUUUUUUUUUAUCUAUGUAAUGGAAUUUGGACGUGUAUAAUGAUAGUAGCAUUUGUUAAUUGGAAAGUUAUAUUUCUUUAAA